rfam:Myotis lucifugus cont2.48947, whole genome shotgun sequence.
GCUGGGUAGCUCAGUUGGUUAGAGCAUUGUCCUGAUACGCCAAGGUGGCAGGUUUGAUCCCUGUUCAGAGCA